GUUUCAUUGCGAAUGCUGCAUAAGAAUCGAAAUGUAACGAGAGCAGCUCGUUUGGCAGAAUUUGAAAGGAACGGGGCAUGAUCGAUGUGCAUCGUUUCGAGAGUUUGUGGAUAAUCGCGUGUACGGCUUCUCAUUAAAUAUUCGAGAUAAAUUCUCAAACCUACGAACUUUGAAGCUUUUCUAUCGUCCGUAAAGCAUAAUUACGAGUAUGUAACGUUAGAGUAACGUCAAAAUACUAGAAUCGAAUUGUAUGGGAAAAGCAGAGCAUGA
rnacentral:misc_RNA from 1 species